UACAGAGGUCUCAAGCGUUGUUCGGAUUCAUUGGGCGUAAAGAGCGUGUAGGCGGCCAGGUAGGUCUGCUGUGAAAACUCGAGGCUUAACCUCGAGAUGUCGGCGGAAACCAUCUGGCUAGAGUCCGGAAGAGGAGAGCGGAAUUCCUGGUGUAGCGGUGAAAUGCGCAGAUAUCAGGAGGAACACCCGUGGCGAAGGCGGCUCUCUGGGACGGUACUGACGCUGAGACGCGAAAGCGUGGGGAGCGAACAGG
rnacentral:rRNA from 1 species